AUGGAGGAGGAAGAGGUGGUUACGGUGGAGGUGAUGGAUAUAAUGGCUACGGAGGGAAUGGUGGCUAUGGUGGAGGUGGACCUAAUUACGGAGGCAACCGCGGUUAUGGAGGAGGCGGCGGAGGUGGUGGUGGUGGUGGCUAUGGAAACCAGGGUGGAGGCUACGGUGGCGGCGGUGGCUAUGAUAACUACAACAGUGGAGGUGGAGGCAACUUCGGAGGAGGCAACUUUGGAGGUGGCGGGGGCUACAACGACUUCGGCAGCUACAACAAUCAAUCUUCCUCUAACUACGGCCCAUACGGCGGAGUAUAAACUGGUGGACAGUUUGACUGUAACAGUAACCGCCAAUACAAAUGGCUGCUGA
rnacentral:lncRNA from 1 species